rnacentral:rRNA from 1 species
GACGAACGCUGGCGGCGUGCUUAACACAUGCAAGUCGAACGGAAACGCCCUGCUUGCAGGGUGCUCGAGUGGCGAACGGGUGAGUAACACGUGGGUGAUCCGCCCCUUACUUUGGGAUAAGCCUGGGAAACUGGGUCUAUUACUGGAUAGGACCAUGCUGUAGGUGGUGUGGUGGAAAGAUUAGUUUCGGUAAGGGAUGAGCGCGCGGCCUAUCAGCUUGUUGGUGGGGUAAUGGCCUACCAAGGCGUCGACGGGUAGCCGGCCUGAGAGGGUGGACGGCCACAUUCGGACUGAGAUACGACGCAGACUCCUACGGGAGGCAGCAGUGGGGAAUAUUGCACAAUAGGCGUAAGCCGGAUGCAGCGACGCCGCGUGGGGGAUGACGGCCUUCGGGUUGUAAACUCCUUUCAGCCAUGACGAAGCCCUUGUGGUGACGGUAGUGGUAGAAGAAGCACCGGCUAACUACGUG